ACAGACUGAUCAAUCACAGGGCCCUGCAAACUGAGGCUACUUGUGGGAGUCGCUUCACCAAUUCUUGAGGGCUUCCAAGUGGCAGAACGAAGUGCUUGUUUGGUAAUGUAUAUAAUGCUUGCUGUUUAGAAUAAAAUACUUAAUCUUCUCACUCACUUGUGUUUGUAUUGCCUCUGAUUCUCAUUUUAAAUGAACCACCUUGCAUUUGGCAAGACACCUUGUCAGGGGCGAUAGGAGUUUCUAGCCCAGCAAAAAUUGGGGAACCACAGACUGCCAUGGAAUUUUCACAAUGAAUUGGGUUUUUUGGUGUGUUUUUUUAAAUGUAAACUGAUGUGGAAAUGUGGAGAAUGGAAUUUAAGAUUGGAAAAAUGAGAAACCGAGAUUGACAUAUUCACCCAUCCCUUGUGAUUAUCACUACCAUGCCGCCAUCCUCCCCUUGAUGUCCUCCUAUCUCCAAUCACCCAAUGGGUGGUGCAAAGCUGAGCAACUGCCCUCCAGGCACCUGCGGAUCUUCACAUCAUUGCUAUCCCCAUUAUACUUUUUCCAAGAAAAGCUGUAAUUUGUGUUUACGUCCAGUUUAACAAUCCAGUCCGGGUGGCUGCAUCCUAGUACGCCUUGAAGCUUCCCUUGUAGUUUUGAAGAGACAACAGCAUCCUGUCCUGUCUCUUGUUAAAUGGCUGUCAUGUUAUUUAUUUUUAGAGGUUGAAGUUAGCCUCAUGGAUAGAUGGAAGCAGUUUGGGAUUCUUAGCAUUUGUGCAGAGCCUUUUACUAUCUUCACACAAGUUGGAUUAAGCCUCCUGCUUGAGGAGCUGUCAGCCUGAAUGCCCUCAGAAAUUAAGCUUUCACAGUUUUCCAUCUGGGUCUUGGAUGAAGCUGAAAAAACUGUUUCAAAUUGCCUGUACCAUUUACUUAGAGAGAAAAUUAAAGUCAUACACACACCUGCUAAAUGGUUAUAUUAGAGUCUUUCCAGAUGAUAAAAAGCUGAUAACCUCCCCCCGCCUCAAAAAAACAAAGUUUUUUUACUAAAAAAAAGAGGAAAAAACAACAACCGACAUUUUCCUGAUCAAGUGCAUAGCAGCAGGAUAUCCUAUUCUACGUAAUGAACAGUGGGCAGGGGAAGAACCUAAGCACUACCUUAAAAGGUAAAGGACCCCUGAUAGUUAAGUCCAGUCGCGAACGACUCUGGAGUUGUGGUGCUCAUCUUGCUUUAUUGGCCGAGGGAGCCGGCAUAUGUCCGCAGACAGUUUUUUCUGGGUCAUGUGGCCAGCAUGACUAAGCCACUUCUGGUGAACCAGAGCAGUGCACGGAAACGCUGUUUACCUUCCCGCCGGAGUACUACCUAUUUAUCUACUUGCACUUGGACGUACUUUCGAACUGCUAGGUGGGCAGGAGCAGGGACUGAGUAAUGGGAGCUCACCCUGUCGCAGGGUUUAGAACCGCUGACCUUCCAAUCGGCAAGCCCUAGGCUCUGGUUUAGACCACAGCGCCACCCAAUUAAAUGAAGAGAAAUGCUCCAAAGAGUGGACAGGAUUAAAACAAAGCAUUAUAAAAGUAAAGCAAAGGGAGAACAGAAAUUGGUGGGAUGCUAUGGGAAGGGCCAGCCAAAGGCAUUGUGUUGCUUGAAGCAAAUGACAAGACAACACAGUCCACCUGCCUCAUUCCAUGUCCAAAGCUGACCACACUGGCAACUGAAUCUUAUUUUGACACUGGCAAUGGGGCACUCAUCCACCACUGCACUUGAGGGCAGAAUUCUAGCUUAGAGGGUACAGGGCAGAUCAUGUGUGUCAUGCACAGCUCUGUUUCUGUUGCUCAGCAUCUGCUGCCUGAGGUGGCUGCCUCUCUUUGUCUAAUAGUAGGACUGGUCCUGGCCAGGGGAGUAGACUUCCACAUAGCCAAUACUCUCCCACCCCACUUGUGUUUAAAAUGGUUACAUGAGUCAGGUUGUGUCAGUGAUUGUAUCUGGUUAUCUGUGUCAGGGGAAGGGCUGGUGGACACAGUCCCACUCUCCCUCCCUCAGCAUUUACUGCAUGCAUGGGGGGAGGGGGCCUAUUCUUGAGCACAGCCUUUCUAUGAAUUGUGUCUUCUGCCAUGGAUACAUUGAUUGCUCUUGAGUCUAGUCACCACCUCAGAUGUAAACCAGUGUUUUGCUGUCCACUGUAUUUAUAACCUGGGGGAGGUAUAUUUUACCUCAGACUGGCAAGGGGGAAAAUACCCUGAGCUAGUCUUGGCCCUUGGGGGGGGGGGAUAUAUUUUGUUACAAAUAGCCUUUGACAACUCUAGGUUCAGUUUCUUCCUUUUAAAAAAAGCUUUUGCCAAAGACCUUGUGGAGUGCCCGAUUCCAUUCAUAUUCUCCAACAGGGUUUAUUUCACUUGGGUGAUUAUCACAUAACCAUCUUCUAUGUGCAACGGAAUUAACAGAGAUUCCAUUUGUUGAAAUCAUAUGGAGACUGCAACUGUACUCUGCCUUAUUACCAAAUGAGUACAGCAUGCCCUUCAAUAAUUCUCUAAACUCUCAAAUGCCUUGGAAAUAAUAUGCUGGAAUAUUACUGAACUGUGACUGAAGCACCAUUUGUGCUAAAUGUGACAGUGCACAAAUGAUAUUCCUCAAUAAAAGUUCAAACUACAUUAAUCUUUCACAGAGGUUCAUUGACCAGGAAGAUGCCUUAGAUACAAAAUAAACUGGGGACGGCCCCUUUGAAAUUACUUCUACACAUUUUUGCUGUGUCUGUUUUUCAGAAUCAUAUACAUUAAUUUCUCCCUUGUAUGCAUAAUUUUAGCAUGGGACAUUCUAAAAAGCAAUAAAUUAUAUUGUUUCUACAUCAGUAUUAGCAAAAACAUUAGGUCUCUGUUUGUAAUACAGAAAUCCCUCUUGGAUCAUGCUAUCAUUAAAUAUAAUGUGUAAUAGUCGGCAAUGUAAUAUACUUCUUAUUUUCAUUCCUUUGGGAAGAGCAGACAUAACUCACUAGCAGAUUUGCUCUCCUUGGCUAGAUUGAGUUACAACCAUUCCUAGCACAGGGGUGGGGGGAGAGAAGGGUUUAUUGUGCUUGCAGUUAGACAUUCUUUCUUAUGUUUGCUAUACAACCCCCUAGCAUCACACAUAGUGGUCUUCCUACACUAGUUUUAGGAGAAAAUACGUACUCAACGCAAGAAUACAUAUUAUAAAAGGGAAUAAGUGCAAACAGUCUGUGCAAUCUGUAAUGUCUGAAGCCUGGCAAAAUAUUCACCACUUGUGUUUGCUAUGCACUUCUUUUCCUUUAUGGAAAUGAUACAUGUGGUGACAAUGACCAUAUAAGUUCCUUAGGGAUAAAUAAGCUGUUUCCUGACAUUGGCAAUGGUGUGUGUGCAUACAAUUUCUUGAACAUGUCAACAGCCUGCAGUCUCUGAAAAUAUGGACAUAUCUGCAAUUGAUUACCCAAUGCUGGUGCACGUUUUUAACACUGGGCUAACAGUAUAGUAAGCUUGUGUUUAAGGCCUAUCGAUAAAAAGUGUUUAAGGCCUAUCAAUAGCCAUGAAGCAUUGAAGAACAAUGUGUUCCAUACAAACUCACCCAGUUUUGGAUGGAAGAAGCAUUGCUCAGGGGUGGAUUACAUGCUUUGCAUACACAAGGUCCUGUCCUUGACCUCACUAGUUAAAUGUUCAGGGAGCAGAUGGUGGGCAAGUUCCCCACCCAUGCUGCAGCUAAUUCCCUUGUGCCAAUGGAAAACUUUAUUUUGUGACUUAUUAACCUCAUUAAUUUACAUUUAAAGCGGUAUCACACCACUUGAAGCAGUCAUGGCUUCCACAAAAACAUCUUGGGAACUGUAGUUUGUCAAGGAUGCAGAGAGUGUUAGCCAACUCCUAUUCCCCUCACAGAGCGUCUUCCCAGGAAACUGGAAAUUGUAGUUCUUUGAGGAGAACAGGGGUCUCCUAACAACUCUCAGUACCCUACCACUUCCAGGGUUAUUUGAGGCAAAGCCAUGAUGGUUAAAAGUGGUAUGAUAUGGUAUUUAAUGGAUAGUGCAGAUAUACUGAUGUUAUAUAAAAUGUUUAACCCUGAAUGAGAUAGAGCUAGAGAGAGAGAGAGAGAAAGAGAAAUUAACGGAAGAGCAACUCUUUCAGGAAGUCAACUGACUAGGGAUAUUCAGCUGCUCCUGAUAAAGAUGAGUAACAAUAUUUUUGUUCCCUCAUGAGCUUUACUCAUGGAAUGUUUCUAGUCAAAUGCAGCACAAUACAUUCCUUCCUACACUCUAUAUUAUGAGCUGUAUUGGGUGAGAAAAUUAUUAAUAUGCAGGUGGGUGGUAAGUAAAUAUUUAACAAUAUUUGUCUUGAUGAGCCUUGCAUGAAAAUGAAAUAUUUGAUCUGCGAUAUUACUUAAUUUCCUGCAUUCCUCUCCUUUACUACACACCUAGGCCUAAAGGGAUUUUGGACUUGUGUUCCUCGAGCAGCAGCUUCUCAGGCCACAUAGGACAUCAGUUUUGAAACGAUGAAUGAUCCUUCAAAUAUAGUUUGUGAUUUGGCAUUGGGAGCCGCCUCCUGUUGAAAGACAACUUUCAAAAGAAUAUUCUAUGUUAAGGACUUGGAUUGAAUGGUGUGAGGAGUAACACUUCCACUUAUGUGGGUGGUUUCCUCAUAUCGGACAGUUUUCUAUCAAGGAGUCCCUUCUGCCUCAUCCAAUACCAUUUCCAUGCCUAUUGGGGGAAGCUUUGGAGGUAAGUGGGAGCAAUGUAGGGACUGCAACAGGAAGGAGGAGGCAAGAAAAGUUCAUUGUGUGAGCAGAACUACACUUAGGAGGCUACCACUGGUACAUCAACCUAGUAUAUUCUACGGCUAUGCUGAGUACAAUGGCUUUGAUGAUUUCUGAUGAGUUUGUUCCCCUUGCCCUGCCUCCAAAAAGGACUGAACCAAGGGCCUUCUGAAGGCAAAACAUGUGUGCUACCAUGUCUAUGCCUUCAUUUUUAUGCAGUUUUAUGGGCUCAAGCCAGACCACAGAGGAACAUCACUAAAAAGACUGGAGAACAUCCUUUUAGAAGGACUACAAAACACGAUUGUGUUUAUCCACAUUUUUCUACCCUCUUCUCCAAAUGAAAUAUUUAUGAUGAUGAUAAUUAUAAUAAAUCCCUGCUUCAGUUAGCUAAAUGCUGUUCCUCCAGAUGUUGUUGAACCAACUCCCAUCAUCCCAAGCCAGCAUGACUACUUUUCAGUCCAACAACAUCAGGAGCACCACAGAUACCACACCUCUGCUUUAGAGCCUUCUCCUCCUUUCUAAGCAAAACUGUCAUUGCUAUUCUGUACCAUUCUGUGCAUCCCUACCCACAGGUUAGAAUGAAUCUUGACACUUAUAUGGGGCCGAUGUGGACAACAGAGAUAGUGAUACUGUUUUUGGAGUAAGUAAGAUGACACUAAGCUAAGUAUUUUGAAACCUUGGGCAUGCCAGCUUUCCUGGCAUGAAUUUUCUAAGGAGAUGCAGCCCGUGGUGAUGUCUCCCUCCCUCGAAGAAGAACAAAAAACCCAGGAGGAAUGAUCCUUCAACCAAAUGAUUCUUGUAAACAGUCUUUGAAUAAAAGAAGCAAAUUCCAUCUGCCAUUCUACCUCCCACGAAAUCGAAAAAAGAGGCUACAUUUCUCCAACUGAGCGGAAGUCUCUGAUUGCUAAGCAUGAGGUCUAAUUGAUCAUAGUGGAACAUGGGGCUGAAUUCUUUGCUUUUGGAAACCGCUGGCAUAGAUUUAAGUGCAGGAUGGGGGGCAUGAAACCAUGAAUGAUUUAUUGGUGAGCUCUAGAUCAUCUCUCAGAAGGUGAGUUCAACGGCUUCACUUAAAAGAUUAACCACCUAAUCCUAGAACAGCAAUUACAGCAAGAGCAACCUUAUUAGGCAAAACACAUUACAUAAUUUAGAGUGCUAACUCUAUUGAUAAAUCUAUUCAGCAAAGCUGAACUUGUGGCACACAGGCAAGUGGUUAACCCUUUUCAUCUUUUGACGAUCAUGAAUCAGUGGCCUGGUGCAUUAGUGAAUUUCCAUGUGAUGUGUUUUGCAAAUUGCAUUUGCAAAUGCACAUUUCCCCUGUAUAUGUGUCACAUCUGUGAUGUUUUGUGUGUGUGCAUGCAUUCAAAGUGUUUCCCAUCUAUAUUGCAUUAAUACAAUGAUCUUCGCAAGGAACCAUAAAAAUUCUAGGUAAAACAACAAUGAUGGUCUUGGUCUAUCUACUCCUUGCAUUAAGAGGGAAGUGAAGAAGGCAAAACUGAGGGAGGGUAGGCAUGCUUGGGAAUGUUUUAGGCACAAGUGGCAGGUGAUUAAUUGUUAUUGACAUUUCUUUCCUGUCCUUACUUGCAAAGAAGUUCAGGGUGGCAGAGCAGCAAAAGGAUGAAAUAAAAAGUAUAAUAAAAAUAUUUUAAAAGAACUUCUAUUUUUUUUUAAAUGAUAUUUAUUAAAGUUUCCAAUUAAAACAGAACACAUCUGUAAAAGAGAAUU